UUUGUGGGUUUGAAGAUGUAUAGAUUAUGUUUUAGUGACGCGAGUCUAAUGUGUUUAUGUUGUCAACAAGGCUGAUGGGUUUCAUUACCGUCAGCCUUGGGUUAUAGGUGUGCAGGAGGAGGUCGAAAGUCUGCGUAGGCGGGUGGAGAAGGCUGAGCAGGUGAUCAAGUUGGUGCCCAAUCUCAAUAAACAUAUCGACACAGUUGAGGCAGAGGUUAACCGCCUCAGUUUGGCGGUUGAUAACCUCACUGCUGAGAUUUAUUCUCUCACUGUGCAGGUCGCAAAUCUGGAGAAGGUCUGCUUCGAAUAAAAACCUUAAGGUCACGGGUUGCAGGAGGUGGAUGGUUGUACUUGUGUUCCAGUCACGGGUUCACGCUUUCUCUGUUUCUUUUAUGUACCUGUCUUUUAGCUUUAUGUACCUCUCUUUUAGCUCUAUGUAUGUCGGUUUCAAUCACGGGAAAGUGUAGAAUGUUGGAUUUUUCUACACUUCUAUCUUAUGUAAUCACGGGUGUAUGUACCCCUGAUAACUUCAUUCACGGGUGUAAACAUUGUCUCCCUAUAUAUAUUAUGUUUGUCACUUCUCUUUGGCGAUCAUUUAUAAAAUCUCCAAUGCAACUUCUCUUUCUUUCUCACUUGUCUUUGUGAAACACACUGCUUUCCUCAUCCUCCUCUACACCAAGUCUCCAAAGUAUUUGUGUAUCGACCCACUGCUUUCUUCAUCCUCCUUUACACCAAGUCUCUCUCCUUG